UAAACGACUCUCGGCAACGGAUAUCUCGGCUCUCGCAUCGAUGAAGAACGUAGCGAAAUGCGAUACUUGGUGUGAAUUGCAGAAUCCCGUGAACCAUCGAGUCUUUGAACGCAAGUUGCGCCCGAAGCCUUCUGGCUGAGGGCACGCCUGCCUGGGCGUCACGC
rnacentral:rRNA from 1 species